AUUGAACGCUGGCGGCAGGCCUAACACAUGCAAGUCGAGCGGAUGAAGGGAGCUUGCUCCUGGAUUCAGCGGCGGACGGGUGAGUAAUGCCUAGGAAUCUGCCUUGUAGUGGGGGAUAACGUCCGGAAACGGGCGCUCAUACCGCAUACGUCCUGAGGGAGAACGUGGGGGAUCUUCGGACCUCACGCUAUCAGAUGAGCCUAGGUUGGAUUAGCUAGUUGGUGGGGUAAAGGCCUACCAAGGCGACGAUCCGUAACUGGUCUGAGAGGGUGAUCAGUCACACUGGAACUGAGACAAGGUCCAGACUCCCAAGGGGGGCAGCAGUGGGGAAUUUUGGGCAAUGGGGGAAAGCCUGAAGCAGCACCGCCGCGUGGGUGAAGAAGGUCUUCGGGUUGUAAAACUCUUUUAAGUGGGAAGAAAGGGUGGGAAGUUAACUCUGUGCUUUUUGACGGUACCCAAAAAAAAAGCCACGGCUAACUUCGUG
rnacentral:rRNA from 1 species